rnacentral:rRNA from 1 species
CCUACGGGUGGCAGCAGUCGAGAAUCUUCGGCAAUGGGGGAAACCCUGACCGAGCGACGCCGCGUGCGGGAUGAAGGCCUUCGGGUUGUAAACCGCUGUCAGUGGGGAGGAAAUGCAGAUGGGUUCUCCCAUUUGUUUGACCUAUCCGCAGAGGAAGGACGGGCUAAGUUCGUGCCAGCAGCCGCGGUAAGACGAACCGUCCAAACGUUAUUCGGAAUCACUGGGCUUAAAGGGUGCGUAGGCGGUCCGGAAGGCCCACGGGUCGAGUGUGGAACAGCGUCCAGAACUGCAGGACUUGAGGGAGACAUAGGUGAGCGGAACCUAGGGUGGAGCGGUGAAAUGCGUUGAGAUCCUAGGGAACACCAGUAGCGAAAGCGGCUCACUGGGUCUCUUCUGACGCUGAUGCACGAAAGCUAGGGGAGCGAAGAGGAUUAGAUACCCUAGUAGUC